rnacentral:rRNA from 1 species
GACGAACGCUGGCGGUGUGCUUAACACAUGCAAGUCGAACGGUAAGGCCCUUUCGGGGGUACACGAGUGGCGAACGGGUGAGUAACACGUGAGUAACCUGCCCUCAUCUUCGGGAUAACAGUCGGAAACGGUUGCUAAUACUGGAUAUUAGUUUGCAAGGCAUCUUGUGGGUUGGAAAGAUUUUUUUUGGUGGGGGUUGGGCGCGCGGCCUUUCAGCUUGUUGGUGAGGUAGUGGCUCACCAAGGCUUCGACGGGUAGCCGGCCUGGGAGGGCGACCGGCCACAUUGGGACUGAGAUACGGCCCGAACUCCUACGGGAGGCAGCAGUGGGGAAUAUUGCACAAUGGACGGAAGUCUGAGGCAGGAACGCCGCGUGCGGGAUGACGGCCUUCGGGUUGUAAACCGCUGUCAAUUGUGACGAAGCUUUUUUGUGACGGUAGCAGUAGAAGAAGCACCGGCUAACUACGUG